rnacentral:rRNA from 1 species
AACGAACGCUGGCGGCAUGCCUAACACAUGCAAGUCGAACGAGACCUUCGGGUCUAGUGGCGCACGGGUACGUAACGCGUGGGAACCUGCCCUUAGGUUCGGAAUAACUCCCCGAAAGGGGUGCUAAUACCGGAUAAUGUCUUCGGACCAAAGAUUUAUCGCCUUUGGAUGGGCCCGCGUUGGAUUAGCUAGUUGGUAGGGUAAAAGCCUACCAAGGCGACGAUCCAUAGCUGGUCUGAGAGGAUGAUCAGCCACACUGGGACUGAGACACGGCCCAGACUCCUACGGGAGGCAGCAGUGGGGAAUAUUGGACAAUGGGCGAAAGCCUGAUCCAGCAAUGCCGCGUGAGUGAUGGAGGCCUUAGGGUUGUAAAGCUCUUUUACCCGGGAUGAUAAUGACAGUACCGGGAGAAUAAGCUCCGGCUAACUCCGUG